AACGAACGCUGGCGGCAUGCCUAACACAUGCAAGUCGAACGAGACCUUCGGGUCUAGUGGCGCACGGGUGCGUAACGCGUGGGAAUCUGCCCUUCGGUUGGGAAUAACUGAGAGAAAUUUCAGCUAAUACCUUAUAAUGUCUUCGGACCAAAGAUUUAUCGCCGAGGGAUGAGCCCGCGUAGGAUAGGUAGUUGGUGGGGUAAUGGCCUACCAAGCCGACGAUCCUUAGCUGGUCUGAGAGGAUGAUCAGCCACACUGGGACUGAGACACGGCCCAGACUCCUACGGGAGGCAGCAGUGGGGAAUAUUGGACAACGGGCGAAAGCCUGAUCCAGCAAUGCCGCGUGAGUGAUGAAGGCCUUAGGGUUGUAAAGCUCUUUUACCCGGGAUGAUAAUGACAGUACCGGGAGAAUAAGCUCCGGCUAGCUCCGUGCCAGCCGCCGCCGUAA
rnacentral:rRNA from 1 species